AAUGACUUCCAGCUGGAGCAGCCCCGGCAGCCCGCGCGCUCUCUCGCUCGCGCUGAGGCCAAGAGCGUGGGGAUUUUAAACCCUUCGAAGGCAGAGAAGGACUCUUUCCUAAACUUUCAAUCUCCUGACCCAAUUGAAUAGAUACACAGUUUUUCUGUGGAUAUGAGUUUUCAUUUCUCUGGGAUAAAUGCCCAGGAGUGUGAUUGCUGGCUCAUAUGAGAAAAUACUUUGAAGGAGGGAAUAAUACCUUCUUAUACUUUGGAAGGCAGCUGAGCCUGGUGGCAUGGACAAGACUUCUGGAAGCAGAAUAUCUGUAUUUUAAUGAGAUUUGGGAGAGAAGAAAUUCUGCUCCUGGACGACAGCGUUGGCUUGUGCCCAUGGAGUUUCGUUCUAUUCAUGAUGCUUCUGCCCUGAUGGCCUGGCCUAUGGAUUUCUGGCUUGCUGAUU